AUGGACAUCUGGGUAGCUGUCACAGCAGGAGUCAAGGAAGCUGUAAAGCUGCCUGGCUGGCUCAAUGAAGCACAAACUCGCAAGUCCGUCAGACAUGUGAAUAAAUCCAGCAGUCCUGACUGUAUGCUCCAGCAUGAGGCAAAGAGAGGGACCAAUUACAUUUCUUUCCAGGAUGGAAAAUGGAACCACAUGGCUUCUGUAGUUAUUCCUUCAUUCUCCGUCAACACCAGGAAGUGUACUGCCCUUCACCACCCUGCUUUCAAGCCUGGCCUGGUUAAGUAUGGCCAUUGCACUCCUAAUUCAUCUGGGUUUAUGACACAGUUGAAGUUUCUUGUCUGUUCCAUGCUGUAAUAGCUAUCUAAGUUAACAUAGUGUCCUGGUUUCAGUUAGCACAGAAUUAAUUUUCUUCCUAGUAGCUGGUGGAAUGCUGUGUUUUGGCUUAGGAUGAGAAGAGUGCUGAUAACACCCCGAUGCUUUAAUUGUUGCAGAGCAGUGCUUAUACUAAGCCAAGGACAUCUCAGCCUUUUGCUCUGUCAUGCCAACGGGCAGGCUGGGGGUGCAGUAAGAGCUGGGAGGGGACAGACCCAGGACAGGUGACCCAAACUAGCCAAAGGGGUAUUCCAUACCAUCUGACGUCAUGCUAAACAAUAUAUAGGGGUGGCUAGCUGGGGGGAGGGGGCCGGACUGCUCGGGGUUAGGCUGGGCAUCGGUCAGCGAGUGGUGAGCAAUUGCAUUGUGCAUCACUUGUUUGUACAUACUAUUACUUUCGUAUUAUCACCAUUGUAUCAUUAUUAUUAUUAUUGUUAUUAUUAUUUUUGUUAUUAUUAUUUUCCUGUCUUAUUAAACUGUCUUUAUCUCAACUCACGGGCUUCACUCUCCAUUUCUCUCCCCCGUCCCAGAGAGGGAGGGGGGAGGGUGAGCGAACGGCUGCGUGGUGUUUAGCUGCCGGCCGGGUUAAACCACGACACAUAGUUUCUUCAAUCACUCCUGAGAACAAAGAUUUUAGACUUGGUGGUGGUGUCUACUGCCUCAUAAACUCCACUGAUUAAUAAUAUCCUAACUCCCAUUAUUAGGCCUGAGCAUUUUCAUUAUAUUGGAACUGGUUCUUAGUGAUCAGAGAAUCAUAGAGUGGUUUGGGUUAGAAGGGACCUUAAAGAUCAUCUAAUUCCAUCCCCUGCCAUGGGCAGGGACUCUUUCCAUUUAAUCAGGUUGUCCAAGGCCACAUCUAGCCUGGCCUUGAGCAAUUCCAGGGAUGGGUCAUCCACAGCUUCGCUGGGCAGCAUGUUCCAGUGCCUCACCAUCCUCUGAGUAAAGAACAUUUUUUCCUAAUGUCUAAAAUAAAUCUACCCUCUUUUAGUUUAAACCA
rnacentral:lncRNA from 1 species